rnacentral:rRNA from 1 species
CGGUAAUUCCAGCUCCAAUAGCGUAUACUAAAGUUGUUGCAGUUAAAAAGCUCGUAGUUGGAUUUCUGCGGGGACGGAGCGGCCGGACGCAACUUGCGUCUCGAGCUAGCGCUUUCCCCGCAUCCUGCCGCGAACCGUGCUACCAUUAGCUUGGUGGCGCUGGGGAUCGGCUCGAUUACUUUGAGAAAAAUAGAGUGUUCAAAGCAGGCCACACGCCUUGAAUAAGUUAGCAUGGAAUAAUGACUAAGGACUUUGGUUCUUUUCGUUGGUGUUCGGGACUGAAGUAAUGAUUGAUAGGGACAGUUGGGGCGGUCUGUAUUCCAAAGCGAGAGGUGAAAUUCUUAGACCUUCGGAAGACAAACAGCUGCGAAAGCGUUCCGCAAGGAUGUUCCCUUUGAUCAAGAACGAAAGUUGGGGGAUCGAAGACGAUCAGAUACCGUCGUAGUCUCAACUAUAAACUAUACCAGCUAGGGAUCGGCCAACGUUUAAUUAUUCGACAUGGUCGGCACCUUAUGAGAAAUCAAAGCAUCUGGGUUCCGGGGGGAGUAUGGUCGCAAGGCUGAAACUUAAAGGAAUUGACGGAAGGGCACCACCAGGCGUGGAGCCUGUGGCUUAAUUUGACUCAACACGGGAAAACUUACCAGGUCCAGACAUAGGAAGGAUUGACAGAUUGAUAGCUCUUUCUUGAUUCUGUGGGUGGUGGUGCAUGGCCGUUUUUAGUCGGUGAAGUGAUUUGUCUGCUUAAUUGCGUUAACGGACGAGACCCCAGCCUGCUAAAUAGCGCGGCCGAGCUUUGCUCGGUGCGAGCUUCUUAGAGGGACCAUGAUGCGCGAUAGCACAAGGAAGUUUGGGGCAACAACAGGUCUGUGAUGCCCUUAGAUGUUCUGGGCCGCACACGGGCUACACUGGCGCCUGCAACGAGCAUAUCAGCUGGCCCGAGAGGGUCUUGGCUAAUCUUUGGAACCGGCGCCGUGCUUGGGAUUGACCAUUGCAAUUGUUGGUCAUGCAACGAGGAAUGCCUUGUAAACGCGAGUCAUCAGCUCGCAUUGAAUACGUCCCUGCCCUUUGUACACACCGCCCGUCGCUCCUACCGAUGAAUGUUCCGAUGAAAUUUUCGGAGAGCGCCAGAGAACGGGGCUCUGCCUUGCAGAUCUGGAGGCUCAAAGUCACUUAAAUCUGAACAUUUCGAGGAAGGAGAAGUCGUAACAAGGUAACC